rnacentral:rRNA from 1 species
UACAGAGGUCUCAAGCGUUGUUCGGAUUCAUUGGGCGUAAAGGGCGCGUAGGCGGCGGGGUAAGUCGGGUGUGAAAUCUCAGGGCUCAACCCUGAAACUGCACUCGAUACUGCUCUGCUUGAGGACUGGAGAGGAGACUGGAAUUCACGGUGUAGCAGUGAAAUGCGCAGAUAUCGGGAAGAACACCCGUGGCGAAGGCGGUUCUCUGGGACGGUACUGACGCUGAGGAGCGAAAGCGUGGGGGAGCGAACAGG